AAUUUUGGACAAUGGGGGCAACCCUGAUCCAGCCAUCCCGCGUGUGCGAUGAAGGCCUUCGGGUUGUAAAGCACUUUUGGCAGGGAAGAAUAGGCUCUGGCUAAUACCUGCAGCUGCUGACUGUACCUGCAGAAUAAGCACCUGCUAACUACUUGCCCGCCGCCGCGGUAAUACGUAGGGUGCAAGCGUUAAUCGUAAUUACUGGUCGUAAAGCGUGCGCAGGCGGUUCGGCAAGAAGGAUGUGAAAUCCCAGGGCUUAACCUUGGAACUGCAUUCUUAACUGCCGGGCUAGAGUAUGUCAGAGGGGGGUAGAAUUCCGCGUGUAGCAGUGAAAUGCGUAGAGAUGCGGAGGAAUACCGAUGGCGAAGGCAGCCCCCUGGGAUAAUACUGACGCUCAUGCACGAAAGCGUGGGGAGCAAACAG
rnacentral:rRNA from 1 species